AUUGAACGCUGGCGGCAGGCCUAACACAUGCAAGUCGAACGAGUGGCGGACGGGUGAGUAAUGUCUGGGAAACUGCCCGAUGGAGGGGGAUAACUACUGGAAACGGUAGCUAAUACCGCAUACCAUCGGAUGUGCCCAGAUGGGAUACGCUGGUAGGUGGGGUAACGGCUCACCUAGGCGACGAUCCCUAGCUGGUGAGCGAGGAUGACCAGCCAGACAGGAACUGAGACACGGUCCAUACUCCUACGGGAGGCAGCAGUGGGGAAUAUUGCACAAUGGGGGCAAGCCGGAUGCAGCCAUGCCGCGUGUAUGAAGCAGGCCUUCGGGUUGUAAAGUACUUUCAGCGAGGAGGCGUUACUCGCAGAAGAAGCACCGGCUAACAACGGGCCAGCAGCCGCGGUAAUUC
rnacentral:rRNA from 1 species